UCUGUUGAGGACAGCCGUCACUGACACGAACGUAUUCCAUUUAGUGCCUUUUUUACUUUCUGCAAUGUUGAAACUGCAUUUGCACAAGUGAGAUACAUUUGAAGUUGCAUUCUGAAUUAUCUGGUUUGUUCUCUUUGAAAGCAUAUAUUAAAAAAAAGCUGCUAUAGGCUAGUAUGUUUGUGUCUUUAUCUU